rnacentral:rRNA from 1 species
CAUGCAAGUCGAGGGGCAGCAUGAUUGAAGCUUGCUUCAAUUGAUGGCGACCGGCGCACGGGUGAGUAACGCGUAUCCAACCUUCCGCUUACUCGGGGAUAGCCUUUCGAAAGAAAGAUUAAUACCCGAUGGUAUGAUGAGAUUGCAUGAUAGCAUCAUUAAAGAUUUAUUGGUAAGCGAUGGGGAUGCGUUCCAUUAGGUAGUAGGCGGGGUAACGGCCCACCUAGCCGACGAUGGAUAGGGGUUCUGAGAGGAAGGUCCCCCACAUUGGAACUGAGACACGGUCCAAACUCCUACGGGAGGCAGCAGUGAGGAAUAUUGGUCAAUGGACGAGAGUCUGAACCAGCCAAGUAGCGUGAAGGAUGAAGGUCCUACGGAUUGUAAACUUCUUUUAUAAGGGAAUAAAACCUCCCACGUGUGGGAGCUUGUAUGUACCUUAUGAAUAAGCAUCGGCUAACUCCGUGCCAGCAGCCGCGGUAAUACGGAGGAUGCGAGCGUUAUCCGGAUUUAUUGGGUUUAAAGGGAGCGCAGACGGGUCGUUAAGUCAGCUGUGAAAGUUUGGGGCUCAACCUUAAAAUUGCAGUUGAUACUGGCGUCCUUGAGUGCGGUUGAGGUGUGCGGAAUUCGUGGUGUAGCGGUGAAAUGCUUAGAUAUCACGAAGUACUCCGAUUGCGAAGGCAGCACACUAAGCCGUAACUGACGUUCAUGCUCGAAAGUGUGGGUAUCAAACAGGAUUAGAUACCCUGGUAGUCCACACGGUAAACGAUGGAUACUCGCUGUUGGCGAUAUACGGUCAGCGGCUUAGCGAAAGCGUUAAGUAUCCCACCUGGGGAGUACGCC